GGUUGUUGCACAGAUAAAAUGGGGAGGAGGAGAACCAUGUAUGCCACUUGGAGCUCUUUGGAGGAAUAGUGGUAUAUAAAUGUAAUGAAUAAAUCAGUAAUAUUGCAGACUAGAUUGAUUUGAGAUUUCAGCCUGUUUUGUGAUAUUUUGUGGUAUUAUUUCUUGAUACUUUUGUAGUUUUUUUCUUAUGUUCUGAACUCUUCUGGAUACAUUCUGUAAAGACUAUGCCAAAUGGACUAAAUGAAGAUUUAAAUUGGACCCCCUUGUUAUAACAAAAAGUACUUUGGGCUCCCUUGAAACAAAAAGUCCUUUGGGUCUCUGUGUCAAUAACUUUCUGUUAAGUAUCUUUGUGAUCUGCAUUCUGGAAUUUGUGUAUAUUAAUUCAUAAUUCAUACCUUUGCAAACUUUCUCUUGGCAUACAGGUGGUUUAUAGUUUCCCCAUGGUGAAGUGCCUCUAAUAACCCCCUAAGGGUUAAUGUAAAAUAAUCAAGCAAAUUCUGCUGAGAUAUGUUAUGCACUGAGUGGCUGUAGGAGUAGUCUCCACAGCUGAGUUACAUUUACAGAAAUUGUUUUCACACAAUGACUCAGCCGAUUAGGUAUUUAAAUACAACACCACCUCCGGGAUAAGUCAUGUGGAAAAUUUUUUAAAUAUGUCUUUAGAAUUGAGAGACAGACAGAAAGGAAUCAUUGAUUUAACAUACAAUCCACAUAUCAGUCCAUAUCUCAGCAUACAAAAUAUAAAAUGUAUAUCCAUUCUCAAGGCCACUGAAGAAGACUUUCUUGUCGAAACGCGUUUGGCUUUGUUACACGUUUUGUAUUUUCAUGGGCAUUAGGUUAUGCAUAUUGACCUUUGUUUAUAAGUUGCCCUUCAUGUUGAUAUUGAUAUUCCUUUGACCACAUCAUAUAUUUUGUUUCUCACUGUGCAUGGGCAUUGAGUUAUUUUCAAAAUGUUUCUGGCCUAUUUUGCGUUAUUACAUGAGAACACCUACAAGGAUUUCAUACUGUUUGUUUGUAUACAUUAAAUCUUUGAUAUUUUUUAUAACAUUGUUUUCAUGUCUGUACCUUAACUUUUUCUGGAGUGCUGUAGUGUACUCUGAACAUGGAAAUUGUCCUGGGGAAAAUCAAGCCCCUUUUCUCUGAGGGCAUUCCAAUGAUCACUGUCAAUGGGUUGCCAGCCAUUCCAAAAUACACCUUACAUGUCUGCUCUGAAUGAAGUCCCAUUGAAUUCAAUAGUACUUACUCCCAGGUAAGUGGAUAGAGGGAGUUAGGCUGCAAUUGUGUGCACAUUUUACCUGGUGUGAAACCUAUUAAACCUAUUAAACUCAAUAGCACUAACAUCUGAGUAGACAUACAUGGGAUUGCAAACACCUAUUGUGAUGGCUGGAUAUAUGAUGAGUCAAUUUUUUGCAGGUUAAUAUUUAAUGUUCCUCAAAAUAAUCACAUACGGCUGGUUUGGGAUUGAAAGACUAUUCUCUCUAAAAUGUACCUCUUUAUUAUUCGAUCAUAUCAAAUUAUGUAGGCUGUUUAAAGUAAAAUGCCUACAUCAUGGCUAAAGUUCACCUUUCUAAUUUAUUUUGUGUUAGAUGCUAUGGUUGCUAUCCACAACAGAUUCAGUGAUAUGAAUUGUUCUGUAAACAUGGAGGACAUUUUUAGCUAAUGCAAUUUUUUAAAAAAAUUGUGUGAGCCUAAGGGUUCUUUAUAUUUGGUUUUCUCAAACAACACACCCACAACAGGUUGCAUAGUUGGCAUGCUUUUGAAAUUAAAGGGCAUUUCAAAAGCAACUUGUGACAUACCGUGGGGUCAACUGUUCAAAGUCAAAAAUCUCACCAGACAACUGCAGACCCCUCACAUGAACUUAAACUACCCUUUAGAUCUUGGCCUGUAGGACACAUUUUUUCAGGGUAUAGAUUAUGGGAUAUAUAUUUUUAGUAUCGCUGACUGAGGCAGGAUGGCAAAUAAUGCCUCCCUCUGCUGCUGACUCAAGGUGUAAAGUAUCCAUGGAUGGCCAAGUUAUUGACACCUGAGGCAGGAAAUCCUACACGUGACUUUCCCUGGGAGUAAAAAAUUAAUAAUAAUAAAUAGCAAACAAUUGGCUAUUCAUGACACUCAUAUUAUCUGCUUAGCUUUAGAAGGACCGGCCCUGAUGGAAUUCUAAACCCCUAUGUCCUUGUGAAUAUUGCAUUUUUAGUACCCAUGCCACCUACAAAAGGUAUACUGAUCAUAGGACUAAUUCAGAGAAUACUAUACUACCACCAGUAACCAUCACUCUAUCCAAACAGUGACUGGGUUACUUGCUGGACUACGAAGAAAAAGCCAGCAGGUGGCACAAAACUUUUACACCAUACAAAUGUUAUAUAGUGCUAUGCCAAGUAAAGAGAUCGCUACUUUUUAUUUACUUUGAAUUCUUGACUGCUUGAUAAUGCUUAUCUAUUAUUUAAAUUUCACCUUUCCAUAUGACAGAGGCCAAGGUGCAUCAACAAAUAAGAAAAAAUACAGUGUAAAACACUCCCAUAAAAUACAGGAUGCAUCUGUUGUUAGCUGUAACUGUAUAUAUGCACAAUUAAAUGAAAUGGUGUACAGUAGGGCCCCACUCAUACGGCGGGUUACGUUCCGGACCCCUGCUGUAAAGCGAAAACCGCUGUAAAGCAGAACCCAUUGAAUAGAAUGGCGCACAAUGCCCAAAAACCGCUGUAAAAGCAGAACAAGCGCCGUAUGAGUAGGGCUUUAGUCUAAUUGUGUCUAAUUGAGACUGCUGUUUUAGCGAAUCGCUGUAAAGUGAAGUGCCGUAAAGUGGGGCCCUACUGUAUAAAACAAACAGGUAUGGGAUAUAUUGUUUGUUUUAUACACUUUUUUGUUUAUGCUGUUUUUAUGCAAUAUAUCCAGACUUUCUUUCCUUUUCCUCAUUUAUCUAAAGACAAACUUUUUCGUAUUUUCAAGAUAAGCUACUUGGCAAAGAGUUCUAGAAACUUUUUUACUUUAAAUAAUUAAUCACUAUUCCUAUCAAAGAAAUAAAAAAAAUGCAGUGAUGAAACAACUGAAGCCAUCUGAAACUGGUUACAUACAGAAUAAUGAAGGCUGUUUCUGAGCUUAAAAUAAUAAUAAUAAUAAUAUAAAAUAAAAAAACAGGUAAAAAACACAGAUCACUCAAAAUAGCCAGUUAAAAACAGCAAGAGCAGGAACAGAUAAAACAGAUCAGUCUGACAGGUCAAACGUCUGUCUAAAUAAAAGGGUAUUUACUUGUCAGAACUAGGUCACUAGAGAGGAAAUAAAUUCCUUAGGAAUUCCAGAGACUGGUUGCAGCCGCCAAAAAGGCCCUCUCUCAAGUCCUUUGCAAACACUCUUCCAGAUGUUGGCAGAACAGAGGAAAAAAGCCUCUCCCGGAGGUCUUAAAAGUUGGGCAGGUUUAUAUGAAAGGUGAUCCUUCAGAUAACCUAGUCCCAAGUUUAUUGUCAGUUGGUGGUCACUUAGCUCAUGAUAAUCUAAAUGGCUUUUGAGGGCUAGAAUAUAUUUUCUUCCAUUAGCAUUGAUAGCUGGUGGCUACUGAGUUAGAAAACUCACCCUAGGUGCUCAAGUAUGGGCUGGAGAAGCACUUGAUUGUUGCAAAAUAGCCAGUAAAAUAGGCUCAAGUCUGAGUUUUGCAGCUGUGGUAUUGUGAAACUGAUAUUACUUUAUACCAAGCUCAAUGUGUAUAUUAUUCAUCAAUAAAUGGCUAUGAUAAAAAUGUCCAAAGUCUCCAACAACAUUGGACUUCCAAAAUUGUCUAGCAUUUUAGGAUAUUUACCCAUCAGAAGCUAAAGUGCUUUUUGCACAACUGCCUUGUGCAAUGUGAUUGUAAAGUAUGCUUUCGCUGGAAUGUACAAUUGAUAUCUCUCCUACAUCAGCAUCACUUGCAUGUGAUAAAAAUAGCACCGGAGAAGCUAAGUGUGAUUUUAAGCACCUCCUGCAAAAACACUCUCAGAAUAGGGCUGCCAGCUAGCAAGGAAAAAAAGAACAAACAUCACAGUAGCCUAGCAUGCUCUUGCACCUUUAACAGCAGCUGGUUCUUUUUGAUGCAUAGAGUUCAGCAUGAUCACUUUCUAAUUUCACAGAUCAAGGUACUGUUAAAGGCAUAGGAGCAGAGGCCAACGUUCUUACUUACAAUCUUGAAAGUGACUGCUUUUCAAGUUUGGAUGCAUGAUAAGGAUCCAGUCACAAAGAGUUUGAAAGUUAGGGGUUAAAUAAUAGAAAAUGGACAUAUAUUUGUAAGCUUGAGCUUUUGUUACACCCAGACCCCAAAGUUAUAUCUGGUCAUCAGUGCCAUCCAAAGGACUUCUCAAUAUUCUGAAGUAGGGCUUGCCAUUGCAUCAGUUUCACAGGCAAGUUUCCAUAAGUAGACAACCAGGGGCCCUCCAGAUGCUGGCUGGAGCUGAUGGAACUUGUAGUACAAAACAUCUGGAGGGCACAGGUUAGGCAAGACUGAGCUAAUGAUUCAGUUUCAAGUUCCUAAAACUAGUUAGCCUUGCACCCUCUGUCUCAAAGAUAAACAGAGACCUUUUGCUUUGACUUCUCUCAGAAUAGGUCUUCUAGCAUGUGAAAAAGAAAGUGUCAGUUUAUUCAACCAGCUAGGGUACAUUUCUGGGUUGGGGAAUCUGCACCCCUUCAGAUGUUAUUGGCCAAAGUGUAUGAAGGUGUAAUAGUCUGGAUUAGACUCUCCUCCAGAUUCCCACUUUAAAUGCUUCAGGCUGCACUGCUAUGCACACAGUUAUUUGGAUGUAAACUCAGGGGUGUAGUUGUCCAGGGUUGCAGGGGGUCGUAGACUCAUUACUGUUUUGGGAGCAGGGUCCCAGCCAGAUCUCUAUGAAUGAGCCAAUCAGCAUGAAAGGGAGCAUGCCAGCCAUUGGUAAGUGUUCUUGUCUUUCCUGCUGAUUGCAGCUGAUGAGAGUGAAAGGAGCUGAGACAGCCACCAAGAAGACUCUUCUCAGUGGCUAACACACAGCUUCCCCUUUCAUGCUGAUUGACUCAUGGGGCAUCUGUUGUAGUGGAGUGUGGGCUUGGAACAGGACAGGGAGAGCAUGACACACAAGGGAAAGUGGAAAGGAGGCAUGGCUGUGACCAUCUGAAUUUGCCACUACCCUACUGUGUAAACCCCGCUGGACUCAACGCACUAGAGCAAACCUUCACCGGAUUUGCUUUGUUCACAUCCAGACCAAGAGAGCUCCUUCCCCAUCCGAAGCUUUUCAAACUCUCCUUCUGUGGUCCCUCACAUAUCUGCUGCACAAAAGCAUGGGGAGGGGGAUGCUCUACCCAGUAGCCCUGGUUGAUCCUUCUUGGAAUAAACCACCUUUCUCUUGUGUCUGUGUCUGUGUCUGUGUCUGUGUGUGUCUGGGCUCCGGGAAGCAAGUGACCUCUCCAGAUGGGCUGAGCAAACUCUUCCCGCCGGGAGGGGAUUGGAGGAGAGAACUGAACGGUUCCAAGUUGCGCUGCCGGGCGGCUGAGCCGGCGGAGCUUCUCCCUCGAAAUUACCCCGCGGGUCGCCUGCCUUGACCUACUCAUCGGGAGCACCGAGAAGAAGCCACUGGGGGAGGAAGCCAAAACAGGCAUCUUGUGUCCUAAGCGGGUUGGUGGAGGAAGCAAUGGGCCGGCUGAAGAAGGCGUGCUGUUGAUGCCGGGGAUGUACCGCAGCCGGAGCCCCUGAGCAGGGCAGAAGGCGGCGGCUAUGGGACAGCGACUGGGUACGGCGCUGUUGUUGGUCACGCUGGGGGGCAAUUUGCAUGGUUCCCUCUCUCCCAUGUUAUCAUCACUACACCCCUGUGAGGGUAUCUGCUCAGGUCACUGACUGCAGAAAUUCAGUGUGAAAAUAUUUACCAAAAUUUCU